AAAAGAGGGACUGCGAUGUAGCUUAGUUAGUAGAAUGCUUAAUAGCAUGCAUGGAACCCUGGGUUUAAUCCCAAACAUUAUAUAAAUUAGUCAUGGUGGUACACCCUGUAAUCCAGGCACUUGGGAAACAGAGGAAGGGGAACAGAAGCUUACAGUAACACUCAAUCUAUAAAGUAAUAUUUGAGAUCAGACUGGAUAAAAUUAGAUCCUGUCUCAAAAAAAAUAAACAAGUAAAGAGUUGAAAGAAGAGCAAUUUCAUGGCUACAUCAUUGUGAAGAUUACACAAGAUGAUACAGGUAAGACACUUAAAAAGUGUUUCGGCCUGCCAAGCAUGGUAGAACUGGAACUGGUCAUUAUUGUUAUUAGUUUAAAUAUUUUAAACAGCACCCUUUCCAUAAGGAGAAACAGAGAGGAGGGAUGCAGAGCCAAACUGCCUUAAGUACAAAUUCUGGCUCUCUUACAUCAGUCUCUUUAUCUCUCCAACAGGGAAAUUAUAGCUCCUAUAGUCUAUGGUUACCUUAAGGAUUAGAUGAGAAAUUCCCAUAUAAAUUAAAUACAGAGCUGGGCAUGGUGGUGCAUGCCUUGAAUCCUAGCACUUGUGGGGCAGAAGAAGUAGGUAGAUCUCUGCUAGUUCUAGGCCAGUCUGGUCUAUAAAGCAAGUUCCAGAACAGCUGAGGCUACAUAGAGAGACCUUGUCUCCAAAUAAAUAAAUGAAUGAAUCAAUAGUAAAUGCAAUGGCACACAAGAAAUACUCAUCAUGUGCACUAAGUAAAGAGCUAUUCCCAAAGCUUUAAAUAUCUCCCUGCUCAAAAUUGUAUGUUCAGCCUAACCUCUCUUGUUUCACAUCUGUCCGUUAGAUACAUUCUCCCUAAUGACCCCUGGGCUUCUUAGACAUCUCCCACUACUCUCAGCCGAAAGAAAACCUUGCUUGCUCUCUCUAACAUGUAACCAUUCCCUCAUAUCUAUCACUGCCUCAACCCAGCUUCUCCAUUUAAUUAAACGAUGCUAGUACCCAACAAUUUGUUCCACCGAGAAGCCUGGAACUCUCUCUGAGCUCUCUCAUUCUCUCAUACCCCUCUUCAAUCGUUACUUACAGCUCUAAGAAGUUUCAACAGUUUUUCCCCCAAAAUACCUCCCUAAAUUAACUACUGAGGUUUGAACCACAAUACCCCCUCCUAUCCAUAUAGUCAUAAUACCCCACAACUCAAUCUCCAGCCUAGAAGCCCCCCCCCCCCCAAGCUGUAAGGUUGACUAGAAGACAAACAUUCUCAGCCAACCUAGACACACCAAUAUUAUCUAGCUCCUGCAAGAGAUCUGGGCCCUUCCCAUCUCCUCCCGAUGUCUGUGUUGAAAGGCUCUGGCCUGCUCUCUCACCCUCCUCCUUAAAGCUAAUUUCUUACUGGGCAAUGGUAGCACACUUUAAUCCCAGCAGUUGGGAGGCAGAGGCAGGCGGAUCUCUAUGGAGUUUAAGGCCAGAGUUCCGGGACAUCUAUGGCUACACAGAAAAACAGGGAAAGAGAUGGUAAGAAGUCAGCAAGCAGCAUAGUCUGGUAGGACACAGAUGAAGGUGUCAGUGAAAGUCUGUCUAGAAUAAGGCCUAGGGACAUGGUUGAGGAUGGUGACAAAUUGCGGGGAGGGGCUACAGCAGAAAGCGAGAAUUGGGGAAAGUGACUGGACUGAGAGCUGAUAGGGAACAGCAAGAGCUCGAUAAUAGAUUGGAAACAGCCUUCACUAAGUGAGUAGUCAGCUGUGAGGAUACAAAGUAGCAGGUGAAGAAGUUCCAGAAAGAAGAGGCGCAUGGGAGAAGCAAAAGAUGAUUUGGGGCGGGGGGGGGGGUAGAGUGGGAGAAAGGCAGUGGGUGAUGAUGACAACUGGGGAACGACCCGGAAGAGGAAUGGGAUGGAAAUAAAGGACAACAACAAAGCGAGCGCUUGGCAGUGGGCACUGGUCGGAGGAGAUGAGCGGGGAGGGAACGCUUGAUAGGUGGAAAGGUCACCACCAGCGGGCCCCUGAUGAGGAAGGUGGCUAAAAAAACAAACAAACAAACAAAGAUGAGACCGGGAACACUGACAACUCCCCAGGCCCUGUAUCCAAGGUCCGCCCCACCUCUACAGCCACGGACAGAGGUGAGGGACCUUGAUAAGGGCAGAGGUGGACAACUGGGAGGCAGAGGACCAGGCGGCCACUAAGAGGCUGAGACUAAUUCUGAGAGUGGGGAAAACUGACCACUGACAGGCCAGGAGCUGGGAUAGUAGCUAAAAGGGAUGUUGACUGUCAAGAAGGGUGAGCGCUGAGGGAACGGAUGGAUGGAUGGAUGGAUGGAUGGAUGAAUGACGGCAGUGGAGAGUGCUGGCUGACCCGGGAGCAGACUGAUGGAGACGCUGACCCCCCUGACGAAGCGCAGGGUGACAAAGGCGCUGCUCUACCGACAGGGCGCUGACGGCACAAGCUGAGUGACAGCAGGACGCUGACGGCCCGAGGGGGGGGGGGUCCCUCCUGUCCCCGGGCCGCAGGAAGCGGCGGGCGCGCGGCCGCACUCACCUGCCCCGCAGGCUGGGGGUCGCGGCGACUCCUCCUCCGAGGGAGGCCCGAGCGAGGCCAGGACGCUCGCGGAGGUGAAGUGCGGACGGCCUGGAGCGGGCCGCACGCACAUGGGCCCGACCCCGCGGCGCGGCGCCUUCGGACUCGGGCGCAGCCGGCGGGAGGCUCGGGACCCGCUCGGGACCGGCUCGGGGCCGCGGGCGAGAUCGCUCCAAAAUGGC
ensembl:lincRNA